CCUGACGAGUAGGGAGGCUCAUACCCCCCUUCACGGAGGAUACCAGCAGUAUUGGCAUCCUGUCCUUUGGAAGCUGCCGGAGGCCUCACCCGACCCCCGGCUUCCGGCUUUCCGGACUGGUUGGCCUCGCAGGCAGCUCCUGCCAGAGUUGCUCACGGGAGGUGAGGAAGCGAAGGUGCUGAUGCGUGGCUGUCUGUGCGUGCAGUGCUUUGAUUACAGCUCAUGGAGUGAUCGCUCCCGAGAAGCCCCGCUGGAUUUUCAGUCCCGCUGCCAGCAGCAAAGAGACGUCUACACAAAGACGCUUGACCGCCAGGAUCAGAAACGCGAGCGAAGACUCCUCAGUGCCGACUUAGGAGGUGUCUAAGAAACAAGAUCACACCUGACCUAUCAGCAAAGAUGUAGCUCUUAUUUCCAGAGCAUCAGUUGGUAAAUUAGCCCUUAACGGCCAGUGGGGAAGGGCCCCGGUAGUCGGAGCACGGGCGGUGCAGCAGGAGGAAGUCUCCCAGGCCGCCCCCGGCCCCCACUCUCCCCCUCCCGCCCCGAACCAGGCCUCCUGGGCCGGGCCUGUGGGAGAUAACUUUCCCUCGCCGGGCCCGGCUGCAGGCUCCAGGCAGCAGGGAUCUGUCUCCCUUGCUCACUCCUGCUUCCUCAGCAUCUGGAAGAGCGCCAGGCGGAGGAGGCACUCCGUCGACAGCCGUGGAGUGAAUGAGUCCAUCGCUGAAGCCUGGCCUGAGCUGGGGAAGGGCUCCUCUCCUGUUCCAGGGCAGGCGCUGGUGGGAAAGCGGCUGCGGUUCUCCUUUGCAGUUCGGUUCAGAGAAGGCCUUGGGCUGACGGAACCAAGCUACAAGGAACAGCCACAGCCGGCUCCAAGUCACGUGUCCCGGUCACGUGGUGCUGAGACACAGAAACCGGCUGGCAAUCAUUAACUAACGCUCACUCCCGGGGAGAAAAUGAAGGUUUUAAAGACAGGAACUCUAUUUUUACAAAAACAACCAGGACUGCAAUCGAAGGGGCACCUGGUGCUGUUGGUGCCUGAGCUUUGGGAAGGCUCCGGAAUGUGAAAUGAAUUCAUCCUUAGCUUUAUCUGCCAUCAACUCCAGGCCUGUCGAUUCUUCAUCACUCACUCAUCCGCUUCCCAGCUUCUGUAAUUUUGUUGCUGUUGUCUCUUCUUCUGUCUUGCCUGUCCUUGUGGAGAGAAAACCAUGUGAGGACACAGCGAGAAGGUGGCGUCUACAAGCCAAGGGGAGAGGCCUGGGAAGAAACCAGCCCUGCUGACACCUUGACCUUGGACUUCUGGCCUCCAGACUGAUGGAUUCUUUACCACUGGACCACCAAGGAAGUCCGCAACUUCAUCUUUUUCCUAAAACACAUGAAUCUGAAGAAUUCUAACCACGGCCCCUUGGACCAGCUGCUCUUCUGCAGGUUAAACAAGCCACAUCUUUAUGUCAUCUCUUCCACUCUGGCCAUCUGGUCGCCUGGCUGGCCCAGAACCUGCAGUGCUGUAGCAGGACUGUGGGCAUCCUCGACACGCUGAAGCCCAUGCACCAUGCCAGAGGAUGGGCCCUGUCUGGAGCAGCCAGUGCAAGCAGAGCAGUCACGAUUCACUGGAACAGGAGACAAAACCAGUAUCCUUUAAAUUCUCAUGGCUACUUUACACUUUUUAAGGGAUUUUACAAACUGGGUUAAACUUACUACUCACCACGACCCUUUGGGGUGGGCAUUUCAGGAAGAGAAGGCCUCAGUCAGGGAGAUUAGCAUUUACGCUGGUCUUCUAAGUCCUUAAUGUGUGGGCUCUUUCCACUCUGCAGCCUGCCUUUGAUUUCACAUAAAAACAAACCAAAAAUCAAAUAAGCAAAACAAAAACAAAACCAAAAAGAUCGUUUGCUAAGUUGUCCCAAGUUUUAUAAUUCUGAGAGACUGCGAACGUCUUCUAUAGAGGUAGAAGAAACGGAUUGAACUGCUCCCCAUAUCACAGUGCACAUCGACAAGGACCAAAGGCUGUUUGUGGGGUGCCCUUGGUACCUGGCCCUCCAUGAGCCAGGAGAGCCAGGGGCCUCGUCUUGGCUCUACUGGCGAGACCUGAGCCCACCUCCACACAAGGGUAAGGGAACAGUUAAACCUCCACUUUGUGAAAAGAGCAGUCCCCUUCCCCAUGGCUGCAUAAGAGGAGCCCAGAGUUUCCUUAGGGAAAUCCUCAGGUCUGUGACCUGGGCCCUGCCAGGGCUCAGGAGAUGCCUCUCCUGCAGGGGCUGGAAAGGAAAAGUGGCAGCUGGGGGUGGGGUGAGGGCUGGGAUGGGGAAGGUGGAGUGAAAGAGGGCCCCUGGCAGCCAGGAUGAGAGCGAGUGGUACCCAGAGGCCUCUAGCAAAGGAUCCCCGCUGGGCUGUGCACACCACCCAGGCCCGCCCUGGCUGUUUUCAUCCCAGUCAGCAUGUGCCCCCAAGGCUGCACGUUCACCUCUACUAACUUUAUUUUCCCCUUUAGGAUGCUCUCCUUGGCCAUUUUAACCUAAUUUCAUCAGGAUAAACUAGUUAGGGAGGCAGAAGGAAGAGGCACAUAGGAAAAUUUCCUUGCAGUCUGGAGCAUCAGGGUCCCCCAGGGAAUGAGAAAAGGGCUUCUCUUCUUGCGCAUAGAAAAAGAUGUUUUGCACAUAGAAAAAGACAAGUGUCUACAAAAGACACUCCCUGGUGUUCUAAACUGGCAAAUGCUGGGCUAGGGAGAAAGGAGGCAGGGAGAGGAAGGUGGAGGGGUUUCUGCAGGAAGUCAGCUUUCUGACCUCUCACUGAUAGAUCUAGUUGCAGGGAGUGAUAUUUUAAAUAUUCAACAAGCAAGCCUGACCAAUCAGAGCAGUCACCCGUGGUGGGGCCUUGGUGUCAGCUCCUGGAGGCCCCCUGCUGGGCCAUAUGUUCCCCCAUUGGUUGCAGGAUAGUGGAGGGUCUGGGGGGGCCAGGGCUUUGGCUGUUUAGCAACCUGUGUGAAGUGUUUCCACUUGAAUGCGUGGUGUGGCUGCAUCGUUUCACAGCAGCUGAAUGUCAGUCUGGUGGGCCCGGGAUGAGAGAUGCUGGUCCUGGUGGCCUCUCCACUGCCUCGAGCUCAUCAGAUGCUUUUUCCAAGUCACUCCCAGCAUCAGUGGCCUCACCCAGUUCCCUGGCAGCAUUGCAGACGUUUCUUCUCUCCCACACAGAGUCGGGCAGUGCCAGAUGUCCUGGGGAACAGCUGGGUGCCUCCUGGCCUGCAGGAGCUCAUGCAUGUGUGGCUCUGACAUCCGAGGAGCAGGCGGCUCUUGCUUUACCAGGAGGGAUCUUUCUCUUGUUUCUCACCCUCUUCUUCCAGGCUGACGUGCAGCUGGCACUGGCUGUGCCUCAUCUCAUCAGGAAUCCAGGGUUCUUCCUCCAUAAAGAGGAGGGGCCCGGGCUUCCAGAACCACGGACAGAUGUCUGCGGGAAGGGGCCUCCACACCUGCCAAACCGCCAGCUUCCUUUCUCGUUCUCAAGGGCCCUGGGGAACACAAGCAUUUGAAAAACGUGUCGUAUGCCCUGCAGUUUCCACUUUCCCCGAAGACAAGCUAUCUCGUCUGAGAGUGAAAAAUCAGGCAGCUGAGUUUCCUGAGAUGGGAGGUGAGAGGUGGUCUGUGAGACAAUGUACACGUUGCCCAGGAGCCUCACUUCCUAAGACCAGCCCGGGAUGGGCGUGGGGACAUUAGCGGCCUUGUCCUGAAAGAGGAGACCAUAAAGACCCGUCUUCAUUUUCACGAUCUGAGAACUUCUCUUCUGGUGAGGCUUGCAAUGGAGCGCUGCGUUUUAUCCUUCUUCUUUCUAUGUAUUUCUAAGAUAUAUAGUUUAAAAAUUCACAUUUAUAAAAACAUCACAACCCGGUGCCUCCUGCCUCACCCAUUCUUACCCACAGUUACUAUUUCCCAGAGCCAACUGCUGGCUGUGAUUUUAGUGGUACCCCUGGUAUUUGCAGCAGUCAUUCUAAAUAGUAUGUUUAUAAAGCUGUAUCUUUACUUUGAUAAUUUUGGAAAUCUUCUACUGACAUUGCUGUGGAAGAUGAGGGUUUAGCGUUCCUCCCCACUCCUAGACACAGGUGUUCACACCUGUCUCUCACUUUCCCACAGAGUUCUCAUCCCAUCUUAGAUGCCACCCAUCAUAAGAUGUAGCAUUAUUUAUGUCACUACAAAAGAACAAAUGUGCUCCCAGUUAAACUUUGAAACAAUACUUUCUUAUCACAUUGACUACAAGUUGCAGUCUGACUUCCAAGAUGUUAAAAUGUGAGAAGUAUGUGCACGUUAGAAUAUUAUAAAUUAUGGACAGCACAAUUUCUGAUUAAAUCACCGAUAAGUAUUUGCAUUAUUUUGACUGUCUACACAGUGUACUAUAAUUACAUUUUGCUUCUUGUACAUCUCUCCCCCCCAGAGUUAAUAAUUGCCUUAUCUAUUUAAUUGUGUAGUAUUUUGGGGUGUUUAUGAGUAAUUCAUCCCCAGACUCUCUUCAACAUGAUGAACACAUUGGUAAUCUCUCAGUUGUGUUUCCCUCCUUGUGGGGAUGUCUUCCUGGGGAUGUCUUCCUGGAGCUCUCUUCCUGCUCCAAACUCGGGGCUGGUUCCCGGUUGGCCCACUGCAGUUACCAACUCAGAGCUUCCCUUUAGCAUCAUCCUGGGAAUCCCCUUUCCUUCUCUCCUGGGUUGGAUCCCCUAUUUCCUGGAGCUUCUGUCUUCUUUCUUGGGUAAUUCUUUGUUUUGUUGGAGCACACCCUUCAGUAGAUUCUUGAGAAAGGGUUCAUGGCAGGUGAAUGUUUGGGGACCUUGUAAGUGUCUUUAUUGGACUGUUGCACGUGAUAGCUUGUCUGGAUAUAGACUUGGACUUCGCAAAUAAUUUUUCUUCGUGUGAGAGGCUUCCCUUCAAUGUCUCGUGAUUUAGUGCUCAUACUAAAGGGAUGUGUGUCAGGGUGAAGCUUAUGGACCACUGGGCUCCGGGUUGGUAAUUCUGCAGCAAUCUGGGUGCUUCACUCGGGGAUCCUGCUAGGUCAGUCUCUGUCUUUUCUCUGGGACUCAUCAGCUUCCCUAGAGAUGAAUCAUCUGAUCUGCCUGUAGGGUAUAAGCCUCACUGCCAGCAUUCUGGGAGCCAAGAGGGGGGAGGAGACUGCGGGAUGUUACAGUCCAAAAUGCAGACUGUCACUUAAUCCUGUUUCAGCAGCGGGUCACAUGCCGGCUCCCAGUUGUGCCUGCUGUCCAGAUGAUCUCUGAUUCAACCUCUUCUCCCAGGGCGGGGCAGGGGCACGGCCUGGCUGUGCAGGCCAUGGGAAGAAAUGGGGCGUCUCCUUGUUCCUCGCACAGGUUUUCAACACAUUUGUUUUCAGCAUACCUGCACCCAUGUUCUGCACAAAGGGAACCAAUUUCUGUUUCUUUCUAAGGUUCUGUGGAAGCUGGUUCCAACCUUCCAGACUUCCCUCCCUGUGGGCUUAGGUUUUGGCUGUAUCUUCUCUAUGAAAUUAAUUACCUCUCAUUCGUUUGCUUUUUUUAGUUUCCAGAAUAUUGUUGACAUUUUUUGUCUGCUCUUGUCUCCAUUCCUGUUCUCUCUUUGUCCUUAUGGGUCUAGACAAGGUAUGCUGGUAAAUGUUUGACAAGUGGCUCUUGAGGGGUGGGAGAGCCCUGACUUGUAGCAGUCCUGUUUCAAGGGUGUAAAUGCUCCUACCAUGGCUAUUUCAAGCAACCAAAAGGAUAUUACUGAGCAUGCAGAUGGGAAAAAGUGCAGAGAAGCACAUCAUUAUAUAAUAUUUCCACCAUACAGAUACAAUAGACAUAGACACUAGCUAUAAAUAACCUCAAGAGAAUAUAUAAUUGUAAAAUUACUAUGAAGUGAUGUUUUGAGAAAUUGUUAGCCUUGUUUUCAAUGUAAUUUUUAAAAUUGUAAGCUUAUAUGAUUUAGCUUCAAAAAUAACUGUAUUUAGAUUGAACUUGGUGUACCCCCCAAAAAAUAAUAAAUAAAUAAAUUAAAAAAAAAAACUGUAUUUAACAACUGGUUCAAAAAAUUCCUAAAAAUGUGAUAAUCGGUUCUCACAAGCCAAUAUCAACUGGUCCUGGCAUAUCACUGGGUUAAUGCCUCUUUUUCCCCCCAUGUACCCGUCACUCACUUUAUUUUUUUUAAGAACUUUUAUUGAGAUACCGUUGACAUACCAUAAGCUGCAUAUAUUUAAAGUGUACAAUUUGAUAUUUU